GAUGAACGCUGGCGGCGUGCUUAACACAUGCAAGUCGAACGGGAAACCUUUUAUUGAAGCUUCGGCAGAUUUAGCUGGUUUCUAGUGGCGGACGGGUGAGUAACGCGUGGGUAACCUGCCUUAUACAGGGGGAUAACAACCAGAAAUGGUUGCUAAUACCGCAUAAGCGCACAGGACCGCAUGGUCCGGUGUGAAAAACUCCGGUGGUAUAAGAUGGACCCGCGUUGGAUUAGCUAGUUGGCAGGGUAACGGCCUACCAAGGCGACGAUCCAUAGCCGGCCUGAGAGGGUGAACGGCCACAUUGGGACUGAGACACGGCCCAGACUCCUACGGGAGGCAGGAGUGGGGAAUAGUGCACAAUGGGGGAAACCCUGAUGCAGCGACGCCGCGUGAAGGAAGAAGUAUCUCAGUAUGUAAACUUCUAUCAGCAGGGAAGAUAGUGACGGUACCUGACUAAGAAGCCCCGGCUAACUACGUG
rnacentral:rRNA from 1 species